UACGUAGGGCGCAAGCGUUGUCCGGAAUUAUUGGGCGUAAAGAGCUCGUAGGCGGUCUGUUACGUCCGCUGUGAAAUCCCCCGGCUCAACUGGGGAACUGCGCGGGAAACUGUGGGGCUAGAGUUCAGGAGAGGGAAGCGGAAUUCCGGGUGUAGCGGUGAAAUGCGUAGAUAUCCGGAGGAACACCGGUGGCGAAGGCGGCUUCCUGGACUGACACUGACGCUGAGGCGCGAAAGCUAGGGGAGCAAACGGG
rnacentral:rRNA from 1 species